rnacentral:lncRNA from 1 species
AUCAACCAUCAGCUUAUUAAGGAGAUUUAACGAAAAAAAAAGACAAACCAUAAUUAGGCUGCAAAAGGAAUUGCAUGUUCUUAUUUAUCCUCCCUUCCUUCUCUUCUUUGGACUUGAGACGCAAUGCAUGAAACCAUUAGAGCGUGAUUUCUGAAGAUCUUCAAACGAAACAUCGGCAAGCUCACGCUUUAUCUCCUCCUAUGGAAGAAAAAUAUAAAUCAGCUAAUAUUAAACAAAUAUAACACUCCCAAGUAAUUCAACUUACCUACCUCUUCUGAAGAGUAUUCAGAUUCAUCACUCUCUUCAAACUUGAUUUUACUUGAAGAAGAGACAAGACUCUCAGAGUUUUGUAUUCCCAUUUUCAGAAAGAAACUUAACCUGAUGGAAAAGAAGAAAGACCAGAUGAGAUAGUAGCCAUAGACAUUCACACCUAAACUCAUAAAAAGAUCUCAUCCAGAAGUAAAAAUGACAUUAUAUGAAGAACUAAAUAAGAAUCCAUACUAUGAUGUUCAGACGUUAAAAAAAAAAUGUUGAGAAUUCUAUCUACAAGGGUAUGUCUAGUUCUUAAUGAAUUGGUUUCUAGUAAAUUGCAUUUGUUAGAAAUAGCGAUAGUUUAGCCCAAUACCAUGACAUUACUAAUUUACAGAUAACGACAUAUGAGAAAAGAAUAGAUAAAGUUGAGAAUUAUCAGCAGUUGAGUUUCCACAGAAUUAUUAAAGGUGCUUCUAGUUCCUAAAAGGGAUGAAGCUAUAGUUAGAUUAUAAUUAGACCAUAUAAGUGGUCAUUAUAUUAAUUACUUAGAUUUUAACAAUAUCAUGAAAUAUUAAAGCGGAAUUCAUGCUAUGAAUUGACUAAUGAUUAUAAAAUAGAAACACAAAUUCCAUUCAGACAAUUCAUCAAACAGUUAAAAUGCAUUACCACACCACACAAAAAAGUUAUCACUAAUUAUUCUUCAAUUAUUCAAUCAAUCAAUUCAUAACAAAGAGAAAAGAGAAAAAAAAUGAAACUUUACUAAGAAAAACAUCAAAUAAACGUUGAAAUCAAAUCAAAACAUCUAUAAAUUGUCUCAAUAUUUAUAACCUAACUUGGUAUUUUGAAUUCUAAUUAGGGUUUAUAAAAAAAAAACUUACUAUUGGCGUAGAGAGAGAGAGAGAGAGAGUUUGUUGUUAGUUAACAACACUGAAGAAGAGAAGAGAAGAAGGUCGUAGAGGUAACAAGGAA